rnacentral:lncRNA from 1 species
UGGAACUCCAUGACCAAAAGCAACCUGAGAAGGAAAGGGUUUAUUAUCUUCCACAUCACAGUUCAUCAUCGAAGGAAGUCAGGGCAGGAUUUCAACCAGGGAAGGAACAUGAAGGCAAGAGUUGAUACGGAAGCCAUGGAGGCAGGAGCUGAUGCAGAUGCCAUGGAGGGGUGCUGCUUACUGGCUUACUCCUCAUGGCUUGCUCAGCCUGCUUCCUUUAGAACCCAGGAUCACCAGCCCACAAAGGGCUGAGCCUUUCCCCAUCAAUGUAUUAAGGAAGUGCCCUACAGCUGGAUGUUGUCAAGCUCAGUUGAGGUUCCCUUCUUCCAGAUAACUCUACCUUGUGUCAAGUUGACAUAACACUAGCCAACAUACUGGGUUUUGAAGAUACGGUUGUUAUACCCUAAAAUUUACCAUGUCACAUACAUAAUACAAAGUAAAUGUAGCACAUAUAAUUCAGUUGUUGUUGGUCUCUUCACAAGUAUUAGUCAGUUUUGGAAUGUUUCAUCACUGUAGAGCAGUUAUUCUCAACCUGAAUCCCAUGUGGGGGUCAAAUGGCCCUUCCACAGGGGUCACCUAAGACAUAGAUAUUUACAAUUCAUAACAAUAGCAAAAUUACAGUUAUGAAGUGCAAUGAAAAUAAUUUUAUGGUUGGGGGUCACCACAACAUGAGGAGCUGUAUUAAAGCGUCGCAGCAUCAGGAAGGUUGAGAAUCCCUGAUCUAGAAGAAACCCCAGGCUCCUAACUACACCCUUGUUUCCCCAGCUCCAAGAACUACUACCAUGGUAGGUGAGAUAGUUUGGUGAGCAAAGGGUCUCAUUUCACACCUGAACUUAAUCCCCGGGACCAACUCCCCAAAAGUUGUGCCAGAUGGUUUUGACUGUAUGUGUGGGUUCAGUUGAUUGGCUUUUGAGGCAUGGGGCUGAACCUUAGGCUUUGCUCAUGCUAGGCAGGUGCUCUGUCCCUGGGCUACAUCUUGCAGCCUCCAAUGCAUAUGUUUAUUUCUGGACUCUCAAACCCAUUUCAUUGCUCUGUGUCGGCACCAUGCCACCCUGACUUUUAAUGCCUUUUAGUAAACUUUGCACUUGGGAGGUGUGGUACGUAGGUGGCUCAUAUGGCUUGCUGCACAAUUGUAAGGAUCAGAGUUCAGAUCCCAGAACCUACAUCAAAUGUCAUUUGUGCGUGGUGGCUGUGAUUCCAGGGCUCCGGAGCUGGCUACCGGAAUGUGCUGCUUCAGUGAGCUCCAUGUCUGGUUGAAAGCCCAAGCGAUAGAGGAAGGUUCCUGAUGUCAACCUCAGGCCUCACAUACAUGUGCCUUCACACAUGCAUUGUGUGUGUGUGUGUGUGUGUGUGUGUGUAUACAAACACUCUACACAGACAAAACACAAGGAAGAUUGGGAGGUGCGAGUCCUACUAUUUUCUUCUUUUUUUUUAUAACUAUUUUUGGCUACUUCAGGUCCUUUGCAAUCCCAUAUGAAUUUUAGAAUCAGUCUUUCAUUUUCUACAAAGAAAUAAAGCAGGUAUUCAAAUAGGAACUGAUUAAGUCUGUGGAUCAGUUUGGAGAGUGUCCAGCUUACCCUUAAGUCCUAUGGCUUGUAAACAGACAUUUCCCCCAGUUAUUUAGAUCUUUCUUGACACCUUUCAACAAUUUUUUGCUUCCUCCGGGUGUGGAAAUGCAAGCUGAUAAUCCCAAAACUGUGCAGGCCGAAGCCAGAGGAUGGCUUCAAGUAUGAGGCCAGGCUGGACUACAUAGCAGGUCCUAGGCUAGUGUGGACUAUAUGGCACAUAUAGCAGACCUUGUUUUUUUUUGUUGUUUGUUUUAAUAAUUAAUUAAUUUAAGCAAGCCAAAGCAAUGUCUUGUUAUUUCCAGAGCAGGAAUUUUGUACUUUUUAUUGAGUAUUUUUUCCCUUAGAGUUUAUUCUGUUUGAUGCCGUUUGUUUGAAAUUGCUUAUUUUAAUUUCCAUUGUCAUUAUCUUCAUAACUUGAUUUUUGAAUUGCAAAUUUCUAUCCAUAGUCAUUUUUAUCUAUUGAUCUUGCCUUUAGCAGCCUUGUUGAAAAAUGUUAUAAUGGAUUCAUCAAGGGUGCUAAUUAUCAAAUAUAAUAGCAGAAAAUAGAAAUGAUAUGCUCCCUCCAUUCUCAUAAUAAAUAUCUUUAAUUUUUGCAUUUUUUCUUGCUUUAUUGUCCUGCUUAGAACCAUAUGAUUUGGAUAUAGCUGGGAGGUAGCUCAGUGGUUAAAGCUCAAGGACCAGAGUUUGGAUUCUCAGAACCCAAGUAAAUGCCAAGUGGGCAUCCUUCGGUCCCUUGUAAUGACAGCAAAUAGAAAAUUUGAGAGCAAGCUGGCUAGCAAAGCUAGCUAGACAGGUGUGGUGGUUUGAAUAUGCUUGGCCCAGGGAGUGGCACUACUAGGAGGUGUGUCUCUGUUGGAGUAGGUGUGUCACAGUGAGACCCUCCUCCUAAGCAUAUUCCAGCCUGUCUUCUCCCAGCAACCUUCAGACAUG